rnacentral:lncRNA from 1 species
GUUCCAAUGAGAAUGAAGGCUGAGGUGUGCGCCUUUUUUUUUUUUCCUUCUUAGUCGUGUGUACAUCAUUGGGAAUGGAGGGAAAUAAAUGACUGGAUGGUCGCUGCUUUUUAAGUUUCAAAUUGACAUUCCAGACAAGCGGUGCCUGAGCCCGUGCCUGUCUUCAGAUCUUCACAGCACAGUUCCUGGGAAGGUGGAGCCACCAGCCUCUCCCUGACAAGCAAAGUGGAUCAGCAAAGGCUGCAGUCACCAGCAUCUUUUCCAACCUUAAUGAACUGUAUCCUCAAAAGAACACUAUCAGACUGGUAAGACAAGCAUUAUUGUCCCACUUCACAGAUGAAGAGCUUGGGGGCCCUGUGGAUGUGUAGGAGAGUCGGCCUUCCUUUUUAUAGGCCUUUUGCUGAGCUCAGAGGACAGAGCAGAAGACAAAGCCGAAUGCAGCCCUAAGCAGACACUAUCCCAGCCCAAGGAGCUAUGCAGACAGCUCCUGCCUAGAGGAGAAACAAUUCUCUCCUUCAGCCAGGCAUGUGGCACAGAGGUGAACAGGAAAUGCUUAGGGAGACAGUUCACAGAUAUAUAUGUACUUCACAGGGCACAAUUUAAUCCAUAAAUCAAUCAUGGAUCACCGCUAAAGAAAACAAAAUAUGCUGCCACUAAUUUGCCACCACCCUGUGAGCAUGAUUGGAUGAUGUUUAUUUUGAUUAGGAGAUUGCUCCAUUUAUAAAUCUUCAAUACAUCCUGUCCCCCUAAAACGGCAUCUGGGUCUUUUGAGGGUUAAAAAAAAAAAAAAGUGAAAUUGGAUGAGGGAUGAGAGCUGGACUUCUGUGUGUCCCGGGGUCCCUGGAUCCACAGCCUGGUGCCUAGCAUCAGUUAAGCCCACGCUGGGGUCGCAUCACAUCCCGCAAAGCCACGUGCUCUGUGAGGCCAACAGGAGCCCCGCCGGGUGGACCAGCUGGAAUCUCAGAGAGCGCCGACUCUGAAACUACCCGGCUCUGCAGAAGCACGCUGGGCCCAGGGGCUUCUAGACUGACAGCUCCAUUUAUCAACUACCUAUUGGUUUUAAAAAUUGGAGUGUCUUUUCCGCGUUGACUGAUUUUGGCUCUAAGAGAUGUCGCUGGUCAUUUCAGAGUGACUGAACCUCCCCUCUAACAGAUCCCGGGAAUUGUUUUCAGGAAAGGUAAAAGGCAGCCUUUUCUGUCACAACACAACGCUGAGCCGGCAGCCUGGCUCUGUCAGGAUCUGGGGCUCCCGCGCCCGAGAAGCCCAGCCUCGCCGGCGGCCAAGUUCACCGCGAGGCCCCGCGCUGCCUGCGCUGCGCUCCCGGACCCGCACCGACCGCAGCGCGCGCCGCCGGUGCUUCUCCCACCCCAGCCUGGAAGCUGCCUCCCUCCGCCUAUGCCUGCAGGAUAAGAAGCCCGAGGAGGCGGAGCAUGGAACUCGACAGUUAAAACAUUUAAGAGAGAAAACCUAGUGUCUUGCUGGCCUGAAAUCGAGUACGCAGCCCGGGGUGAUCAGGGUCUCCCGGCCCGGAUGUGUGAGACUUGCUUCCCCUGGGCAAUAGGCGAUACGAUGCUUUAGGAGGAAGGUGUCUCUCCCUCCUAAGCCCCGGAGGGGAGAACUUCCAAAGACAGAAAACCACAGGCUUCCUGGCACAGAGCUUUCCCUUUAUCAGCUAAAGCAGAAUCUUUUCUGGCCUUAACCUGGCCCCUUCCUCUAACUGCAGGCAGAGAGGCAGACAGAAAAGCACUUGCUGAAACACAAAGUUUUGUUCUGUCCUCAACGAACUGUCUAGAGCUGAUUGCUGAUAGUCGUGGUGCAUUAUGCCUUCCUGGUUUUCAUUUAAUUGGGCACCACGCUGCCUUUCAAGACGCCUUAAAGGAACCAACAACCAAAUCCAAGAGAGCUGGACAGACCAUUGAACACACAGUAGGCUGUGUCUCGUGGCUUUCGUUGUCUGGUGCCUCAAAGAAAACACCAGAAAGAUUGUUUCUAAGCUAGAGCCACCCCAGAUUGCUUAAAGUGCAAAGCUCACUGCUGUUGGGGGUACCCUUGUGAGACACUGGAAAGCUGGUUUUACCGUGGCCCUAUGAAGAGGAAGACUGAAAUUUAGACAGUAAUACCUUUACUAGGAUUGGAAAAGAUUUGGUUAAUGACAGCCCUGUCAUUUCUAAAACCCAUUAUCACUGUAUGAGAGAUUCCUUUGCGCUGCAUCCUCGACAGUGCUUCCUAAGGCUCUGCCGACUUCCAGUUCUGGAACAAGAUGGUUAAACUCAUUUUUCCCUGCUCUGCUCCUCUAAAUACAACUAAGUACCUUGGAAACUAUUCAGCAGACAAUGAUAAAGGGCUCUGAAAGCUAGAAGAAAAGGUGUACUUGCAAGAAACCUCAGGACUUGAGUAACAGCAACAUGGCAGGCCAGAAAGCAGACCCAGGGAGGAUAGCACAUGUCUUCGGCUACACUGGUGAAGGCAUCGUGCCUGCUCCACAGCACAUUUUUAUUCAAGAACAAUCCAUUUCACAGAUGAAGAAACAGACUCAGUGAGCACGUGAUCACUUCUCACAACUAAUGGAGCCAAGAUUCUGUCCUUAUGGCUCCAGAGACCUCUUUUUUUUCCCACUGUACCACAACACUCACCAGGACUGGAGUGCCACCUAUGACCUCAUUGCAUAAUGGAUGGCUUGUCCUCAAAUGGGCCCGGGUUCUUCUGAGCUAUGAAGGGGCCCAGAUUUAAGGGCUAUUUUUGACACCCUAAAUGUGCUGAGACAAGUCAUUAAGGUGGUCCUGCCAGGACACAGCCAUCUAAAGCAGCAAUCUGCUUCUUGCCAGAAAAUCUCGUGCCUCUGCAGAGCCUUUUCCAGAAUGAACCACACCAUGCUGAGGAAAGGAGAAAGAGACUACCUACUGCAUUUCUGUCACUCGCUGAAAAGGACACUCUGUCAGAAAAUCUUCUAGCAAACUUCAAAGGGCAAAAUCACCCCUUGUUACUGAUAAAGCCCAGAGAGCUUCAGCAGCUAACAUUCCCUGGACAGGGCACAGCAAGGAUUUGAACCUAGGUCAGUCUGGCCAGAACACCCACAAGCUUUCCUUAACUCAGUGUGCUAUCUCCCCACGACUAGGUCACUACUGCUUUAUAAUCACCUUUGUAGCCACCAGUGGAUUUUGCUCAUCAGUAUUUUUCAGGCAAUUGAUACUUUAGAUAUUCAGCUGCAAGACGUAUGCAGUUUUCAUUGACAUCUUUUGGAGAAACUGACAAACCUGGACUUGACUUAAUGCCUUUGGAACCUUCCAAGAUGUUAUAUAACUCUAGAUAGAAGGCUGGGCCUCCAUGAUGUCAGGAAUGUUGCAUUCUUAUUUCCCCAUAGAUAAACCCAUUUGUCCACAAAGUCAAGGAGUCAGGCAGAGGCCCUUGCCAUGGGGCUUUUUAGGAUAAAGCAACAAGCCUGGACUUUGCUCUACAACAGGGUUUUGCAUAGGGAGUGGUAUGACCAGAUCCCUCAAGAAAGAAAGCUUAGAGACCAGGCCAGAGUCCACUGCAGUAGCCCAGUCAAGAGAGGAUGGUGACUUGGACUUGUAGUAGAGCCAGUUAGAAUGAAAGAAAUUGACACAUUCAGAAAUGGUUUUAGAGAUAGAGUCAAACUGGACCUGAUAAAGAACUAGAGAAGCGGAGUGAGGAUAAAGAGAAGAGCCAUGACUGACUCGGAAGAUUUUGUCUUGAAAAACUUGAGAACUCAAGACAGAGUGAAAUAAAAUCACAUGUGGGAAAAAUCUCCUGCUUUGUUUUGGACUACUUUGAAGUGAAAUGCCUGUUAAGCCUAAGUGGGGUAGGUCAUGGCGUACAUGACUGUGGGCUCAGGAUGGAUACAGGCAUUCAGGAGUUGUGAGCAAAUAGAACUUAAAGCCAUGAGAGAAGAAGGGAUCACCAAGAGAGACAGUGUGGCAUAGAGAAGAAAAGGGGUGGAAGACGAUCCCUGGGCAGAAAAGUCCUUAGAGCAGAGGCAACAGGCAUGACCAAGAAGACUAAGAAAGAACAUUCAGUACAGCAGGAGGAGAGCAAAAAAUGUGUGGUAUUCUAGAAGCAAAGAGAAUAAAGGGCUUCAGGAAGGAGCAGUCAAGUGUGUCAAAUAAGAUAAAGACAGACAAGUCCCCUGGAUUGGGUAGGAAUAAAAUAACAACAGACUGCCAUACAAAUGGUUCUAUCUACACCAUCUAAAAGAAUAUAGUUUAUUCUCCAUACAUUUAAGAAACACCUGCCAUAUGCCAGGUAUCCUUUCAAGCACUGAAAUGCAGAUUCAUAAAACAUGGUCUCUGCUCUCAAGGAGCUCACAGUGGUAAGGAGGAAACAGGCAAUAGCGAGUGUUCUCAUUGCAUUCGUGACCCCAUUGAUCUUGCAACAGCCCCAUGCAUCAGUUAUUGCCAUUAUACCAUUUUACCGAUAAGGAAACUGUGGCAGGGAGGGGUCAAGCACCUUGGGUAUUUGACAGCAAAACCAAGGCUUGGUGGUAUCAUAAAACUUCCAAGUAGUAAUUCACAAAGGUGACUGGGAAAUGGAAGUGACCAGAAAUCUUUGCACUAUGAGGACAAGUUCAUGACCCUGAUACAUUCUUGUCCAGGUAGUAUAGCUCCAGACCAAAUGUCUGCGGCCACCCACCCAAAAACUUGUUGGAUAAAAAUGACUACACCUAUAGUCAAAUGAUUUUUGACAAAGGUGCCAAACAGUUAGAUAGGAAAAAGAAAGUUAUUUUCAAUAAAUGUUGCUGGAGCAACCAGAUAUCCAUAUGGAAAAAAA